GAAAGUUCCCUGUUUUUAGGUCAGGAAAAUGUGAAAAUGACACAGGUAACACAUUUGGUGAAAAUGCAAUAGGGAACAGAUUUAGUGAACAUGACAAAAGGGAACACAUAACAUUGUGUUAUCUUCUCUGAAAGCUGCCAAAUUUAUAUUGGGACACAAAAUUAGUUUCCCACCUUUUAUUUUAUAAAGACAAUAUUUUCUUUUCUUUCUUGUUCCUUGCUGGCAAUUGAACUUGGAACCUCCUAUCUCCUCACCUUAACACUUUGCUACUUGAGCUAGGUAUCGAGGAAAUAAUUUCCCACUUUUUCAUUUUUAAUUUCUAAAAAUGGAAAAGAAAGUAAAAAUAGCAUUCUCAAAAGUUAUCACUUUGUUUAUUUUGUGAGUUUUAUCUCACUGUAAGAGAAUUCUAUAGAAGCACAUAAAUGGGUGCAAAUCCAGUAUGUGCUAGGUGUACAAGGGAACUCUAAGUUUGUGGCAGGAGCAGAGUAGAAGUACUUUUGAAGACCUGAAGUUUUGGCGAGGAGGCCUAGGUAGCAAAGGCCUGGAGCAAGAAUGAGGAGGUUCAAGGUUCGAUUGUAAACACAAAAAAAGGGGUUUAGGGUUUAGGGGGUGCUUAUUAGAAACAAAUAGAAUUUCAUGUAGAUGAUGAUGCAUAGUGUGAAUCUCAAUGCUACUCACUGAGCACCAAUAGUUAUCUCCCACUCAAUUCAUCAAUAAAAUGAAAAAUAUGAACUUUUAAGGUCCAAGCUAGAAGUUGAUAUUCAAGCAGAAACAGGGCAUUAAAUCAUUCAGUUGAUCCCCUUUAUGUGUUUUUACUGCAAUUGUAAGUUCCCAAUGAGCAAAUGGGAUUAAAAUAUUGUAACACAUAAGAUCAAUGAACCUUAGCGGAUAGAAAUAGCAAAUGGAAGCAACAGAUCCUCUAUUACUUUCUUGUUCUUCAUUAUCACAAUUCUUUGCUGUUGUUAUUAAUGUUAUAAUGGGGAAUCUCAAAUAUAUUUUUGUAAAUGGUUGUUUAUGUGUUGACACUGCAAAUGACAGUUGACAAAGUCAGGUUUGAAUCAUUGAAAUUAAGGGGUUGUUGUGGUUGGGGAUCAUGCGUUUUAUUGGUAUGCGGACUAAGUGGAUGUUUAUGGGCUGGAAGAGUCAUUAAGGAGUUUAAACUGACAAAGAACUAAGUAGAUCUGGUCAUUGGAUUUAAUGGUUCUCUACUUUAAUCCUCAUUUGUUUUAAACUUACUAACUUAAAUAUGCUUGUAUAUGCUACCUAGUAAGGAGGAGAGGAGAUUAUGGGAAAGAUGGAUGUAAACAACAUUGUCAAAUGUCUUAAAUUAUAGAAAGAGAGUGUGAGUAUUUGACAAGUUAAAAGACUGAUGAGGAUGAAUAUCAAAGUUCUAACUGAGAAAGGAAUAUAAGAAGAAAGAAAUCCUAAAUUACUCUAUCAAGGGUAAUUAAGUAACUUUGUUAUUUCUUGGGUGUCAUAAUUAAUUAAUAUUUGGUAUUUGAAUUUUAUUUAGAAUUUAGAAAGUUUUAGUUAAAAGAAAUCUUAACAUUUUCUAUUUUCUAAAUUAAUCUCUUUUUAAAAGGUAUCUAUUUUGAGCCUUUAGAAUCUAGAAGUAUUUUUUAGUAUAACUUUAUUAUAAGAAGUUUCUACACCUAACUCUAAAGAGAAAGUUCUGAUUUUUUAUUUUUUAUUUUAGAAGAUUUAAUAGUCUUAGGAAAGGGAUAAAAGUCCUAAUAAGUUACUACACGGAUAAGGUUAACUUUUUCAUAGUUUUAUUCAAAUUCUAGUUUCUACUACCUAUAAUUGAUGUAAAAUGGGAUUAAGGAUUGAUAGUGAAACAAUAUUAAGUUUUGCAUAUUUUGAAAUUGAGAUGCCAUUGGUUUUCUUCUUGGUGAGAUUCCUAGACGACCUUAAUGAGACUCUAAAGUUUCUAUCUUUUAUUUAUUUUUAUUUUUUUGUUUUUUAUCUUUGUUUUCCUAUAGUUUAUUUUACUUUUCUCUAGUGGCAUAAUUUUUAUUUGUUCAUUUCCUUAAAUCCCAGGCCCACUUAUUUGAUCGUAGACAACUAUCUUAGGGUUGUUCUACAUUAGUGAGAUCCUUGGCUUGAAGGUGCAUGCAACUAAGGAGUAUAACAAUUACCCAAACAUGAGCUCUGAGAAUCUUAAUGAUCAAGAUUCUACUUCAAUAUGUUUGGAGGAAAUUUCUAAUACAUAACAAUCCCAACAAGGGACAUCCUUGAAACUCAACAACUUGGUGGAUGAUAGAGUAAGACUAAUGGAAAGAAGUUUUUUCUUUUGAUAAGAAGAGACUAUUGAAAAUAAGUUAAGAAAAACAAUCCAUCGAAGGAGGGGGUGGGAACCAUCACUAUGAUCAAUCACCUAAUAAAGUAUGUGAAUUGCAAAGUAAUUUUAUGAUGGGUAAUCCACCUAGGGGUGCAAUAGGUGACAUGCAUCAUAAUAUGAAUAUUGAGAGAUGCACAAACUUUAAGCAAGAUCACGACGUGACAAGAAAGAUACGAAUUAAAGUUGUUGGAUUUUUGGGAAAAUUGAAUCUUACAACUUCUUCUUGAUUGACUUAUGCCCAUGGAAGACUACUUUGAUUAAUAUACUAUGCUUAAGACUAUUAAAGUUUGUUUUCUGAAGGCAUAGUGUGUUUAUGGUGGCGUAAUAUUGAAGAUCAACUCUGUAGAACCAACCAGCUACCUAUGAGCACAUGGAAUGAGAUUAAAUUAGAUAUGAAAGAAUGCUUUCUCCCAACUGAUAAUGAACAACUCUUCUACGCUAAGAUGUUUAAAAUCAAGUAAGGUAAUAAAUUCUUUGAAAAAUAUACAAAAAAAUUUCAUGAGUUUGAGUAUUCAAAAUAAAGUGAAGGAAGGUAAGGCUCAAAUUGUUGCUUGCUAUAAAGUUGGACUUCUAAUGAAGAUCCGACUUGAGAUGGCUGCACAAACUUACACCAUAGAUAAUGCUUAUCAACUAGCCCUUUAAAUUGAAUAAACACUAUAUUUUUGGGUUUUUAGAUGUUUGCGGUUACAAAGUGGAAGGCCUUUCUCUAAUCAAGGUAGGAAGUAAACACCCAAGUAACACAAAUUCCAACACUCAUUGUGUGAAUGGUAGAGGUGGCAAUCAACAAUCUUAGAAUCCAACUAAGGGAAAGGUUAAUAAGGGAAAAACACCCAUGAGUGUUGUUGGAAAAAGGGUUAACAACUCCAUUAUGCUUCAAGUGUGGAGGGCAUGGUCAUUAUUUCAUUAUUUGUCAAAGUAAAAGGUUACACUUCUGUAUUGAAGAAGUAGAAUCUGAAUCGAAAGUUGAUCCAAAGGAAGUUGAAAGCCACAAAAAAGAACAACUUGGAGAAGAAGGUGAUUAUUUAAAGGGCAUAUGCUCAUGUUAACUAGGCUCAUGUUAAAUAGUGGAUAUCUAUAGUAAGAUUCUCAACACUUGUUAAUGGAACUCCCUUUGAUUUUUUUCAAAGCUCUAAGGGUUUGAAACAAGGGGAUGCUUUCUUGUCGUAUUUAUUUGUGUUAGCUAUGGAAGUGGUGAGUUGCCUCUUGUAAAGGGCCAGGGAGGUUGGUUUUUGGUCAGGUUUAAAGGCAAGGAAGGGUGGUGAGGGUUUGGAGGUUUCCCACCUUUUGUUUAUAGAUGAUACUCUAGUUUUUUGCUAGGAUCCUUAAGAUCAAAUGGUUCAUUUGAGUUGACUUCUUAUGUGGUUUGAAGCAACCUUAGGGCUGAAAAUAAACCUGUACAAAAGUAAGUUAAUUCCAAAUGGAGGGGGGGUUACCGGAUGUGGUGAAGUUGGGUUGCAAGGUGGGAGAGCUUACGUUUACUUAUUUAGGUUUGCCUUUGGGUGCUCCAUUCAAAUCUAGUUCAAUUUGGGAUGGGGUAGAGGAGACUUUUCGUAGAAGGCCCUCAAUGUGGAUGAGGUAGUAUUUUCUAUGGGGGAAGACUCACGUUGAUUUGAAACACUUUAUCUAGUAUGCCUAUCUAGUACAUGUCCUUAUUUGCUACCUUAGAAAGGUAAGGUUGAGACUAGAGAAGAUUCAAAGAGACUUUUAUAGGGAGGAGGGGCUUUAGAGAAUAAGCCUCAUUUAGUUAAAUGGGCUACUAUUUGCAUGGAUAGGAGGACGAGGGGUUUGGGAAUUAGCAGCCUGUCAUCCCUUAAUUAGGCUCUUCUUGGUAAGUGGAGUUGGAGGUUCGCUUCUAAAGGGGAUAUUUCUUGGAAACAAGUUAUAGAGGGAAAGUAUGGAAAGGAAGAAGGCAGUUGAUGUUCUUGUGAUGUGAGAGGUGAGUGUGGGUUGGUGUUUGGAAAGUUACUAGGAAGGUAUAAGGCCUUCUUAUUAGUAAGGUGACUUUUGAAGUGCAUGAUGGUGUGAGGGUGAAAUUUUGGGAAGAUAGAUAGUGUGAGAAGGAGCCCUUGUGUGUGCCCUUUCUCCUUGUUUGCUUUUUCAUUGUCUAAAAACGCUUGGGUGGCAGAUGUCUGGGAUGCGUUGGUUUUGUUUUUUUUUUUGGUUUGGAUGGGGGUGGGGUGGGGUUACUAGAUUUGUGCUUCUUUAGACGCUUUAAUGAUUGAUAGUUUGAUAUUGUUGAGUCCUUUCCUCACGAUUGCAAGAUAAUUUGGUGAGGAGGGAUGUCACUGAUAGAAUAAUUUGGAAGGAGUUGAAGAAUGGUGUUUCAAUAGUCAUAUCCCUUGUCUGUCUUGGAGCCAUGGAAGUUGAUUCCUUUCCCCUCGGACAUUAUCUUGAAUUCUUGGGUGUUGCCAAAAGUGAGUUUUUUUUGCUUGGAAAACCAAUUGGCAAAUAGAUGUUUUCUUUGUAAAAUUGAGGUGGAAUUAAUGGCCUUUGCCUGGUUUGUGACACAUAAGAUGGUAAAUACCAUUGACAUGUUACAAUUGAGAAGGCCUUUCAAAGCCCUUAGCCUUGAUUGGUGCAUCAUAUGUAGGAGUAGAGAGAUGAUUGAUCUUCUUCUCUUACAUUGUUUGAUUACUUUGGGAUUGUGGUGUAGAAUAUAUAUUUUUUUUUGAUAGAUAAAAGCACAGAAAUAUAUUAAAAAGGGGGCAUGAAAGGCGACCCAGAGUAUANNNNNNNNNNNNNNNNNNNNNNNNNNNNNNNNNNNNNNNNNNNNNNNNNNNNNNNNNNNNNNNNNNNNNNNNNNNNNNNNNNNNNNNNNNNNNNNNNNNNNNNNNNNNNNNNNNNNNNNNNNNNNNNNNNNNNNNNNNNNNNNNNNNNNNNNNNNNNNNNNNNNNNNNNNNNNNNNNNNNNNNNNNNNNNNNNNNNNNNNNNNNNNNNNNNNNNNNNNNNNNNNNNNNNNNNNNNNNNNNNNNNNNNNNNNNNNNNNNNNNNNNNNNNNNNNNNNNNNNNNNNNNNNNNNNNNNNNNNNNNNNNNAGCCCUCAACAAGAACCCAACCAGUCCACAAAAUUUAACAAAGAAAGGGGGCCUUCAACUAUGGAAGAAUUAGCCCAAGAUAAGAGAUUACAAAUGAAGGAAUUUUUCAAUCUUUGAAGUGAUAGGACCUCAUUUUCAAAAACUAUCCUAUUUCUUUCCUUCCAUACCAUCCAAAAUAAGCAAAGAGGAGCUGCCCGCCAAACCUUACUAUGCUUCUUAUCCUUUAAGGGAAUAUGCCAACCUAAAAGAGUGUCUCUAACCGAAAAUGGGAGGACCCAAUUAACACCAAAUAAGGAGAACAAGAGAUCCCACAAAGCCUUCGCCUUAGAACAGUGAAUAAGGAUGUGAUUUAUCGUCUCUUCUUCAUCACAACACAAGGGGCACCUGUUAGCUAAAUUCCAGCCCCUCCUCUUUAGUUGGUCUUGAGUGAGCACCUUCCCCCAAGAAGCUUCCCAAGCAAAAAAGCCCACCUUGGUAGGAACAAACGUACUCCAAAUAAUUCUCCAUGGAAACGGGACUGCACUGCUGUGGUCAAGAGAAUUGAAACAGGUUUUUAAGAGAAAAUCCCAUCUUUCGUCUCAUUCCACACCAUCCUAUCCUCCAAAUCAACAUUCAGCCUCUUUCCUUGAAUGAUCAGAAGGAGUCUCUCCACCUCCUCCACCUCCCAAUCAUUGAAGGGUCUAAGGAAGCGGGGAUUCCACCCUCCCACUUCCCCCAUUGAGUCCCAACAGUCCACAACCCUCGCGUCUUUAGAAACCGCUAAAUCAAACAAGGAGGGGUAGGCCUCACAAAGAGGAGUGUUCCCGCACCAAGUAUCUUUCCAAAACCUCACCCUUUUACCAUCCCCCACCGAAAAAGAAACAUUGUUGAGCAACAACAACCCUUCCUUACUGAUUUCUUUCCAGAGCCCCACCCCAAAGCCCUCCCUACCCCCGCAAGUGCUCCACCCUCCUCUAACAACCCCAAACUUCGUGCCAAUUAUAAGCUUCCAAUAGGAAUCCCUUUCAACCGCAAACCGCCAACUCCAUUUGCACAGAAGGGCCCUAUUGAGAGUAGUGAGGUCUCUAAUCCCCAACCCACCCUUCUUUUUAUGAGAACAAACAAUACCCCAUUUUAUUAGGUGGGGCUUCUUCUCCAACGCUCCCCCUCCCCAAAGGAAAUCCCUUUGAAUUUUCUCAAGUCUUAAUUUAACCACUCUUGGCAUACGCAUUAAGGACAUGAGGUAGGUUGGCAUACUCGCCAAAGUGCUCCGAAUGAGAGUGAUUCUUCCACCCUUGGAAAUGAAUUGCCUCUUCCAUAAGGCAAGUCUCUUGCGCAUCCUCUCUUCCAUUCCGUCCCAAACCAUCACCGACUUAUGCGAAGCACCCAAAGGGAGCCCCAAAUAGGUAGAAGGGAGAGAUCCCACUUUACAGCCCAGUUCAACAGCUAGUAAUUCAGCGUUCUCCACUCUACCCACCGGCAAAAUUUCACUUUUGUUCAGAUUAAUGUGCAAUCCAGAGGUGGCUUUAAACCACAAGAGUAACCAACUUAAAAAAGCCAAUUGCUCUUGGGAAUCCUCGCAGAAGACCAGCGUAUCAUCAGCGAACAGCAGGUGUGAAACUUGAAUUCCUGCUCCUUCCCUUCCCCUUAUCCUGCAGCCUGAAAGAUAACCCCCUCUCACUGCCCUAUUAAUGAGGCUAGUCAAAGCCUCCAUUCCUAAAACAAAAAGGUAAGGGGAUAGGGGGUCCCCUUGCCUUAACCCCCUAGUGCUUCGGAAAAAACCGGUUGGAGAGCCGUUGAUCAGAACAGAAAACGACGCUGUGGAUAAACACCAUUUGAUCCACCCAGCCCAUUUCUCCCCAAAGCCCAUUUUUUGCAUCAUUGACAGCAAAAAAAUCCCAAUUGAUACGAUCGUAGGCCUUCUCUAAAUCCAAUUUACAUAGAACCCCACUUUCCUUCCUUUUCAGCAAGGAGUCUAUGACCUCAUUGGCUAUUAACGCUGCAUCAAGAAUCUGCCUAUCCUCAACAAAUGCAUUUUGGGUAGUAGACACCACUUUUCCCACAACCUUUUUCAAUCUAUUGGCUAAGACCUUUGCAAGCAGCUUGUAGAGGCUUCCCACCAAACUGAUGGGUCUAAAAUCGGUCAAGUCUUCAGCCCCGCCCUUUUUUGGGAUUAAGACAAGGAAUGUGGUGUUCAGACUUCGGACAAACUUUCCCAUCCCAAAGAAAUCUUUGAAAAAUCCCAUAAUCUCGUCUUUGACGAAGUCCCAGCAAAAGUGCCAGAAAGCUAGGGCAAACCCAUCCGGGCUAGGGGCUUUGUCCCCAUUCAACUCUGAAAGAGCCAGGAAAACCUCCUCCACAGUGAACAUUAGCUCCAGCCUAGCUGCCUCCUCUGCCCCAAUGCUAUCAAACUCAAGAUUGUUCACACUAGGGCGCCAGCCACCUGGAUCCGAUAAAAGAGACUGAAAGGCCCUCACUACUCCCCUUUGAAUAUCUUGCUCUUCUGACAGCCAGGUGCCAUUGACUUUAAUUUUUUUCAGGCAGUUCUUCCUUCUGUUGGAAUUUGCCAUCUUGUGAAAAAAUCCCGUGUUCUUGUCACCUUCCUUCAGCCAAAUCUGUCUUGAUUUUUGUCUCCAUGAAAUCUCCUCCAUAAGCACCCAUUUCUUGAAGUCCUCCUUAGCCUCCUUUCUCGCUUCUAACUCCCAGUCAUUUAAAACUCUUAGCCGUUCCUGAUUAUCCCAAUAAGACACCUUGUCCAAAGCCAGCCUCUUGUUCACUUCAACUUUGCCGAAAACUUCCGAGUUCCACUCCUUCAACUUAAUUUUUAAAGCCUUUAAUUUUUCUGUCAAGAUAAAACUAUAGGACCCACUAUAACUGAAACCUUGCCACCAGCCUUUUAACAGAUCCUUAAACCUGUCCUCCUUUAACCACAUAUUCUCAAAUCGAAACGGAGUUGGACCUCUCCUCACUCCUCCCCCAUCUAACAGAAUAGGAAAGUGAUCAGACACCGGUCUUGGAAGAGAACACUGGAAUACCCCACUGAAGUGAUUCUCCCACUUCUCCGAAAUUAGAAAACGAUCCAACCUAGACCUGGAGAUACCAUUCAGCCCUCCAGUCCACGUGAACGACCCCCCAUGGAGAGGCAAAUCUCUCAAGGCCAACUCCUCAAUCACCUCCGAAAAUCUUUCCAUGGAUCUAGUGAUUCUGCCUUCUCUACUACGCUCACUGGGAAAUAUGACCACAUUGAAAUCCCCACCAAUACACCAAGGGUCCGACCAUAACCCUCGAAUGGCACCUAAUUCUUCCCAAAACAGCUCCCUAUUACGUUUCAAGGUGGGUCCAUACACUCCCGUAAAGGUCCACAAGAAGCCAUCCUCGCAGUUUUUGAAACGACACGAAAUUGAGAAGAGUCCCGCCUCCAUGCCUUCUAACUCCAAGACUCUCUUGUCCCAAAACACUACGACCCCACCAGCAGCCCCCCUAGCACUCAUAGCACCCUAGCCUAAAAAUCUUCCCACUCCAAGACUGUGGACAAUCUCCCUGGACAUAUCUUGAAUUUUGGUCUCCUGCAGACACACCAAAUCCGCUCUUUGCGAUCUGAUCAAAGCCUUAAUAACCUUCCUUUUGGCCCUAUCAUUGGCCCCUCUAACGUUCCAUGAUAGUAUCUUUAUCUUCAUCUAAGAAUCGAAGUUCUAACCCCACCAACUCUGACCAAAGAUUUCUUCUUCUUCGCAUCAUUAUAAUUAACGGACCACUCCAAUUUUUUCAACUCACGGUCAAACUUAGUGGAUCCAGAAAUCUCUUGCUUGAUGUUCUGCUCCCUUCUUCUCUUAGUCCUUAGGAGCAGAUUCAAUAUUUCACCUUCAAUACCAUCCGUCGAAAAACCCAAGAACUUACUGAAUCUCGCCAAACAACUAUCGUCCCACCGACCUCCUUUUCCUUCCAAAUCUUGUAACAAAACCUCAACCUCAACCUCACCCCCCCCNNNNNNNNNNNNNNNNNNNNNNNNNNNNNNNNNNNNNNNNNNNNNNNNNNNNNNNNNNNNNNNNNNNNNNNNNNNNNNNNNNNNNNNNNNNNNNNNNNNGAUUUCUCCCCCUCGGUAUCCAUUUCCCCAGUGCUGCCAUUUGCCAGAAUAAUGCUCAAAGGAAUCUGCUCCUUUCCCUCAGUCACCGAGAUCAAACCAGACAAGGCUGCCUCCUUCGCUCCAGCCCGGGCAAACCCAGAAGAAAGAGAAGAAGAAGAGAGCACCCGACCCCCCACAGAAAACGAAGAAAUGUCGACAUACCUGGAGGCUUCGACACGCAACGCUUCGUCGGUCAUCUCCCCUCUUACCACCUCAGAGACUUCCAGCGGCUUCGGAGCUCUUGACAAGCCGACAAAAGGGUCAGCGUCACCAGAAGCGCCUCUCGCCAAACUGAUCGCUUGAGCCCUAGGACGAGAGGCUAAAGGAACUUUCCUUGGGUCAAGGGGGUCGGCGGCUCCAAUCGCUUCUACCUCCAGGCUUGUCGAAAUUGCCCUAGGACGAGAAGCCAAAGGUCCUUCCCCAGUUAAAGCCACUCCAGCCACUGCUACGAGGCCUUCGAGCCCAAAGCCCGCGCCCUUCUCCCCUUCUCUGCAUCCCAGCUCAUCAAGAGAGUUAAUGGGCCUGGAUUUGUGGCCCACACUCUUUAGAGAAACAUUAAGAGGGCCCUGGCUCUCCCCUCUUACAAAGGAAGGGCCCUGAACCACCCCAAAGUCAGAUCCGUUGGGCCCAGAAUUUGGCCCAAAAACAGAACCAUCCAACAAAUUACAAGCAGACUGCUUGUCCCCUGUCACACGUCCAUCAGCCGAACCUACCCUACCCUCCACUGCAGUGCCUGCAUCAGAGAACACAACAGGAGGGGAGGGAGAAACUCCUCCAGUGGACGACACGUCAAGCCUACCCUGCUGUACACUCCAUUGCUCCACCUUCUCCCUUUGACUUCCACCAUCUUCUUCUCCACCGUUGAGACUUCCCGCCGACACCACCUGCGUGAACCAAGGAUGAAGCUCCCACCAAAGUUGCAGGGAAUAACAUCCCGACCCCACAACGAUUUGGACAGAGCUGGGAAACUCCCUUUCCACGCACUUCACAAGGAUCCGGGCCCACUGCAUCUCAGACGAAGACAACGAGUUAUCGUCUAAAGCUACAAAACCUCCACACCCAUCCCCUAUUCUUUUAAAAAUCUCCGUGCUCCACAAAUGAAGGGGGAGCCCAACCACCCUUACCCAGACUUCUUUAGCGCUUGAAUCCUUGCAGAGACACCCCACCUCAGGGUUCCAUCUAUUCAAAACAAUAACAUUCUCCUUAAUGUUUCUUACACCUCUAGCUAAAACACGUUUAGCCUCCCUUGAAGAUUCGAACUCAAACAACAAGAAGCCUCUGCCUAACAUAGCAACCCUUAGAUUCCCCUUCAGAGCCCAAUGCUGCGACGCCCAUCUCCUAACAUACUCCAACUCAGGAACGGGAGCUGAGUUGAGACCCCACCAACCUACCAAAAACUGUCUCAACUGAUCAAUCCUUUCUCGCACCUCUCUUUCCCCCACCUCUAACCAGACAGACUGUCCUACCCUUCUCGGACUUAUCUUAACAACUUCUGCAUAGGAUUUCAGCUCCACCCCUUUCUCCCGCCACUGAACCUUCGAUCCUCCUUUCUCCCUCGUCAAGUCCUCUGGUCCUUUGGGAGCCAGAAAGACACCUGAUGGGGCCACGCCAAGAUCUCUCAACCUCACGGCCAAUAAAUUCCAACCAAGGGACUGUCCCUUCCCCUCUGGAAAGAUUAAACUGAACUUUUUUUAUUCAGAGUUGCGCACUGAGCAGAGGAUGAAUCCCCCUGCCUCAUUCAACCGUCGGUCCAACUUAUACUUCCUGUUCCCCUCCUCCCAGCCAAUGGCCCAUCCUCGAUUAUUAGACUCUCUGCAGCAAGUUUCUACUCCAUCCAGUAAGCACCGUAAGCUCGCCUCCCCGAAUCUAAUCCAAGAGGAGAUACCUUUGCAUCUCUCCCAUAUGCACCCUUUCAACUUUCCUCCCAACUCCUCAACCAGAAUCUCGAAAGAUUUGGACUCCACCACAAAACAGCUUCUUCCUCCCCUGGGGCCACCAGCUUCUCUCCAAGCUCUCAU
rnacentral:lncRNA from 1 species